UACGGAGGGUGCGAGCGUUGUCCGGAAUCACUGGGCGUAAAGGGUGCGCAGGCGGUGUGUUAAGUCGGAUGUGAAAUCUCACAGCCUAACUGUGAUAGGUCAUUCGAAACUGGCAUGCUAGAGGACUGGAGAGGAGACUGGAAUGGUCGGUGUAGCGGUGAAAUGCGUAGAGAUCGACCAGAACACCGGUGGCGAAGGCGGGUCUCUGGACAGUUCCUGACGCU
rnacentral:rRNA from 1 species